ACGGGGUGCAGCAGGCGCGAAAACUUUACAAUGCGGGAAACCGCGAUAAGGGGACACCGAGUGCCAGCAUUUAUGUUGGCUGUCCACAUGUGUAAACGGCAUGUGUUAGCAAGGGCCGGGCAAGACCGGUGCCAGCCGCCGCGGUAACACCGGCGGCCCGAGUGGUAAUCACUUUUAUUGGGUCUAAAGGGUCCGUAGCCGGUUUGAUCAGUUCUUCGGGAAAUCUGACAGCUCAACUGUUAGGCUUCCGGGGAAUACUGUCAGACUUGGGACCGGGAGAGGUAAGAGGUACUACAGGGGUAGGAGUGAAAUCUUGUAAUCCCUGUGGGACCACCAGUGGCGAAGGCGUCUUACCAGAACGGGUCCGACGGUGAGGGACGAAAGCUGGGGGCACGAACCGGAUUAGAUACCCGGGUAGUCCCAGCCGUAAACGAUGUUCGCUAGGUGUCAGGGGCGGUGCGACCGCUUCUGGUGCCGUAGGGAAGCCGUGAAGCGAACCACCUGGGAAGUACGGCCGCAAGGCUGAAACUUAAAGGAAUUGGCGGGGGAGCACUACAACGGGUGGAGCCUGCGGUUUAAUUGGACUCAACGCCGGAAAACUCACCGGGGGCGACAGCAAGAUGUAGGUCAAGCUAAAGACUUUACCUGAAUCGCUGAGAGGAGGUGCAUGGCCGUCGUCAGUUCGUACUGUGAAGCAUCCUGUUAAGUCAGGCAACGAGCGAGACCCGUGCC
rnacentral:rRNA from 1 species